ACCCAGACUUUGGCGUGCACCUGGCAUACAAUGUAGAAAACUGUGUUUGCAAAGCAACAGCUACAUUGUCUGCUGGGUUUCAUGCUGAAUGGA
rnacentral:pre_miRNA from 1 species